rnacentral:rRNA from 1 species
UACGUACAAAACUAGCGUUGUCCGGAAUCAUUGAGCGUAAAGAACGUGUAGACGGCCCAAUAAGUCCGCUGUGAAAGUCGGGAGCUCAACCCUCAAAUACCAAUAAAUACUGUCAAGCUCGAGUACGGAAGAGGCGAGUGGAAUUCCUGGUGUAGCGGUGAAAUGCGCAGAUAUCAAAAGGAACACCUAUUGCGAAGGCAGCUCGCUGGGACGUUACUGACGCUGGGACGCGAAAGCGUAAAGAGCAAACAGG